rnacentral:rRNA from 1 species
UACGUAGGGGGGCAAGCGUUGUCCGGAAUCAUUGGGCGUAAAGAGCGUGUAGGCGGCCAGAAAAGUCCGCUGUGAAAACUCGAGGCUCAACUUCGAGCUGUCGGUGGAAACUUUCUGGCUAGAGUCCGGAAGAGGAGAAUGGAAUUCCUGGUGUAGCGGUGAAAUGCGCAGAUAUCAGGAGGAACACCGGUGGCGAAGGCGGCUUGCUGGGCCAGUUCUGACGCUGAGGAGCGAAAGCGUGGGGGAGCGAACAGG